GGCGGACGGGUGAGUAACGCGUAAGAACCUGCCCUUGGGAGGGGAACAGCAGCUGGAAACGGCUGCUAAUACCCCAUAGGCUGAGGAGCAAAAGGAGGAAUCCGCCCAAGGAGGGGCUCGCGUCUGAUUAGUUAGUUGGUGAGGCAAUGGCUUACCAAGGCGACGAUCAGUAGCUGGUCCGAGAGGAUGAUCAGCCACACUGGGACUGAGACACGGCCCAG
rnacentral:rRNA from 1 species